UUGAAUUGUUUGUUUGAAUUGGCUUAAAACCCCAAUUCAACAACACAUAUCCAUAACACCUGUGCACUGUUGGAUGAGCAAACUCGCAAGAGCAAGCAAGUCCACUUUUACACCAAACAAUUUGUAACAAAUGUAGUCUUAUUAUAACAAUAAUA
rnacentral:misc_RNA from 1 species